rnacentral:rRNA from 1 species
CGAACUCCGAAUGCCGGCGGCCCAGAGCGCGGCAGUCAGAGCAUGUGGGCUAAGCUGUGUGCUCGAGAGGGAAACAGCCCGGACCGCCCGCUAAGGUCCCCAAGUUCCAGCCGAGUGGCAAAGGAUGUGCGUCCGCCCAGACAACCAGGAUGUUGGCUUAGAAGCAGCCAUCCAUUCAAAGAGUGCGUAACAGCUCACUGGUCGAGUGGACAUGCGCCGACAAUACACGGGGCUAAGCUGGACACCGAAGCGGCGGGAUUUUGAUUUUCAGAAUCGGUAGGGGAGCUUCCCAUGGGCGGAGAAGCCGGAGGGCGACCGACGGUGGAGCGCAUGGGAGUGAGAAUGCUGGCAUGAGUAGCGAGAGACGAGAGAGUAACUCGUCCGCCGUGAACCCGAGGUUUCCUGGGCAAGGCUAAUCCUCCCAGGGUCAGUCGGGGGCUAAGGCGAGGCCGGGAGGCGUAGCCGACGCGCAGCAGGCAGACAUUCCUGCACCGCGCACGCGGCGCUACGACCGACGGGGCGACGGAUGGGGGUGGCUCGGCGGGGUUCUGGACGUCCCCGUGAUGGAGCGCGGCCCGCGGACCAGGGAAAUCCGGUCCGCAUCAAGGGCGAGGCUCCGGACGAAGCGACUGAGCGAAGCGAGUGAGCCCGAGGUCCCUAGAAAAACCCCUAGGCAGGCGCGUGCGCGCCCGUACCGCAAACCGACACAGGUGGGUGGGUAGAACAUACCGAGGCGAUCGGGUCAACCAUGGUCAAGGAACUCGGCACAAUGGCCCCGUAACUUCGGGAGAAGGGGUGCCCGCGCGUACGUGAACCGGCUUGCCCGGGGAGCGGAGGCGGGCCGCAGUGGAGAGGCCCAAGCGACUGUUUACCAAAAACACAGGACUCUGCAGAAGCCGCAAGGCGACGUAUAGGGUCUGACGCCUGCCCGGUGCCGGAAGGUCACGCGGAGGAGUUAGCUUUCGAGCGAAGCCCCGAAGCCAAGCCCCGGUAAACGGCGGCCGUAACUAUAACGGUCCUAAGGUAGCGAAAUUCCUUGUCGGGUAAGUUCCGACCUGCACGAAAGGCGCAACGACUUGGGCGCUGUCUCGACCAUGGACCCGGUGAAAUUGCACUGGUCGUGAAGAUGCGACUUACCCGCGGAAGGACGGAAAGACCCCGUGAACCUUCACUGCAGCUUGGCAUUGGCCGCUGGUCCCGCGUGUAGAGGAUAGGCAGGAGGCAUCGAUCCGGAGGCGCCAGCCCCCGGGGAGCCGCCCUUGGAAUACUGCCCUCGCGCGACCGGCGUCCUAACCCGAGGCCGUCAACCGGCUCGGGGACCGUGCCAGGCGGGCAGUUUGACUGGGGCGGUCGCCUCCUAAAGGGUAACGGAGGCGCGCGAAGGUCCGCUCGGGACGGUCGGCAACCGUCCUUUUGAAUGCAAGAGUACAAGCGGGCUUGACUGCGAGGCCCACAAGCCGAGCAGGUGCGAAAGCAGGCUCUAGUGAUCCGGCGGCCCCGAGUGGGUGGGCCGUCGCUCAACGGAUAAAAGGUACUCCGGGGAUAACAGGCUGAUCUUGCCCAAGAGUCCACAUCGACGGCAAGGUUUGGCACCUCGAUGUCGGCUCAUCGCAUCCUGGGGCUGGAGCAGGUCCCAAGGGUACGGCUGUUCGCCGUUUAAAGCGGUACGCGAGCUGGGUUCAGAACGUCGUGAGACAGUUCGGUCCCUAUCCUCCGUGGGCGCAGGAGAAUCGAUGGAGGCUGCCCCCAGUACGAGAGGACCGGGGUGGACGCACCUCCGGUGAACCGGUUGUCGACCAACGGCACGGCCGGGUAGCCGCGUGCGGCGCGGAUAACCGCUGAAGGCAUCUAAGCGGGAAGCCGUUCCAGGGAUUAGUUCUCCUUCCGGUAAGGGCCCAGGUAGACUACCUGGUCGAUAGACGGCAGGUGCAAGGACGGCGACGUCCUCAGCCGAGCCGCACUAAUCGCCCGAGCUCUUCCGGA